AGAGUUUGAUCCUGGCUCAGGACGAACGCUGGCGGCGUGCCUAAUACAUGCAAGUCGAACGAACUCUGGUAUUGAUUGGUGCUUGCAUCAUGAUUUACAUUUGAGUGAGUGGCGAACUGGUGAGUAACACGUGGGAAACCUGCCCAGAAGCGGGGGAUAACACCUGGAAACAGAUGCUAAUACCGCAUAACAACUUGGACCGCAUGGUCCGAGUUUGAAAGAUGGCUUCGGCUAUCACUUUUGGAUGGUCCCGCGGCGUAUUAGCUAGAUGGUGGGGUAACGGCUCACCAUGGCAAUGAUACGUAGCCGACCUGAGAGGGUAAUCGGCCACAUUGGGACUGAGACACGGCCCAAACUCCUACGGGAGGCAGCAGUAGGGAAUCUUCCACAAUGGACGAAAGUCUGAUGGAGCAACGCCGCGUGAGUGAAGAAGGGUUUCGGCUCGUAAAACUCUGUUGUUAAAGAAGAACAUAUCUGAGAGUAACUGUUCAGGUAUUGACGGUAUUUAACCAGAAAGCCACGGCUAACUACGUGCCAGCAGCCGCGGUAAUACGUAGGUGGCAAGCGUUGUCCGGAUUUAUUGGGCGUAAAGCGAGCGCAGGCGGUUUUCUAAGUCUGAUGUGAAAGCCUUUCGGCUCAACCGAAGAAGUGCAUCGGAAACUGGGAAACUUGAGUGCAGAAGAGGACAGUGGAACUCCAUGUGUAGCGGUGAAAUGCGUAGAUAUAUGGAAGAACACCAGUGGCGAAGGCGGCUGUCUGGUCUGUAACUGACGCUGAGGCUCGAAAGUAUGGGUAGCAAACAGGAUUAGAUACCCUGGUAGUCCAUACCGUAAACGAUGAAUGCUAAGUGUUGGAGGGUUUCCGCCCUUCAGUGCUGCAGCUAACGCAUUAAGCAUUCCGCCUGGGGAGUACGGCCGCAAGGCUGAAACUCAAAGGAAUUGACGGGGGCCCGCACAAGCGGUGGAGCAUGUGGUUUAAUUCGAAGCUACGCGAAGAACCUUACCAGGUCUUGACAUACUAUGCAAAUCUAAGAGAUUAGACGUUCCCUUCGGGGACAUGGAUACAGGUGGUGCAUGGUUGUCGUCAGCUCGUGUCGUGAGAUGUUGGGUUAAGUCCCGCAACGAGCGCAACCCUUAUUAUCAGUUGCCAGCAUUAAGUUGGGCACUCUGAUGAGACUGCCGGUGACAAACCGGAGGAAGGUGGGGAUGACGUCAAAUCAUCAUGCCCCUUAUGACCUGGGCUACACACGUGCUACAAUGGAUGGUACAACGAGUUGCGAACUCGCGAGAGUAAGCUAAUCUCUUAAAGCCAUUCUCAGUUCGGAUUGUAGGCUGCAACUCGCCUACAUGAAGUCGGAAUCGCUAGUAAUCGCGGAUCAGCAUGCCGCGGUGAAUACGUUCCCGGGCCUUGUACACACCGCCCGUCACACCAUGAGAGUUUGUAACACCCAAAGUCGGUGGGGUAACCUUUUAGGAACCAGCCGCCUAAGGUGGGACAGAUGAUUAGGGUGAAGUCGUAACAAGGUAACC
rnacentral:rRNA from 1 species